rnacentral:lncRNA from 1 species
CCUUUGCAACUUGUGUUCUCUCCCCCCCCCCGCGUCUUAUCUAAGGAGGAAGGUAGAAUUCGCGUUACUACAUCCCCCCAGUCAGAAGUUCCUACAAUAAAUGGAUCAAUGCCAGGUUUAGCUCCUCAUUCUGAGCUUGCAGAAAGUCAAAGAUGCUGUGAGGAUGUAGAACCAAAUCCUUCUAGCAACCUGCCACCAUUGGAUUCAGAUCAGUACCAACCAACUGUGGGACAGAAGUUACAUUUCUAUCCUGGAACAGGGUAUCUUGUUGAUUCAAGUCAUGCAGUUUUGGAAGCUUCUCCACCAAGAAAUGGCCAGGGAACUAUUUCCUUAGCAGAAAGACUGCCAGAUGAUUUCUCUUCACAUCAGAAUUCUACACAUCUCUCACCAGGUGAUGCUGUGGAAUCCAGCAAACUGUAUAACUUCCUAGGUGGUCAAAGGGACCUUCCAGUCUAUCAGAACACUUUAAACUUUCGGACCCGGACCAUAUCUGAGAGUUCCACCAUAUCUGUGGAAGAGGAUCCCUCACAGUCCCCACAAGGUACAAGGGAGGCAGCAGAACCAGAGGAGUCACCAGUAGAAAAUGUUAAGGAAGAACAAGCCAAGGCCUCUGGUUUUGGCUGGUUCAGUUGGUUCCGAUCCAAACCAAAUAAAGAUGCAGAAUCUUCCAAGAAGACACCAAGUGCUGCUGUCCCAGUUGUCCAGCAGGGGAACACAGACUUGCCACCUUUUGCUCCUUCUAUGGAUGAGACAAAGCCUCCACCACUUCUACCUUCUGCUCAUCUUCAACAAUCUCAUACAGAUGGCAACACUUUUCCCCCAAAACUCUCUGGGAACCAAAAGUUCACUGGGCCAUAACACAAGGACACACUGUGCCAGAAUCCAGGUCAUUACACCAGCAGUUUCUGUCUACAAAAGGUCUUCGCCUUACCACAUCCCACCUUAUCUGAAAUGAUGAAAGUUCCAAGAUAUUUCUGUUGCUUUGGAAGACAGAUACUAGCCCCUGCUUGGAGAGGACCAAAGACUGCUAAAUCAAAUAGUCAUUGAACCUGAGACCAAACGNUAGAACCAUGGACCAAAAAAGCUUCAGGAUAAUAUGAAUUAAAACUAGGUGCAGUAUAUGGUAUAAAUAGCAACAGACCGACUAGUUGAUAAAUGCCCCUUCUUUUUUAAAACCUCCUUUCAGAUUUCUGUCCAGAGGGUAUAAUCUGCACUUUCAUGGGGACAGACAUUUGCUUUUCCAAAUUCACUUUGCUCAGUUCCUUUCGGAGUAUCAUUUGGAAGGUGAUGUCCAGUGGUGGCAGGACUUAGGGGAUCAACAGGUGAUAAAAAAGAGAAAGAAAAGUUCCAUUCCAUUUGCAUCCUUAAUAGAAUGAGAAGCCCAGAUAGAAUCGUAGACUUUUUGCAGUGACAGUCAACAUAAAUGACAUGACACAAUUCAAGGACCCGAGUACAUCCCCCAAAUCCACCAUUCUUUUCUUCUUUCCUCCCCAUCCNCUUUCCUACUAUUUUAUUGUCUGUUUUCUGGCUAGUAUCCUGCAUCUCAUAGUGGUACCUUUAAAAGGUAGUCCACUUGUUAGUGAAGGGUGCCUGGGGAGGUGCCUUCAUUGAAGCAGGCUGCCCUUACAGCCUCAGCAAGGAGUUUGACAUCUCCACUGCUGUUGCUGAGACUGCAGAAAUGUGGCUGCCCCCCACAUGAACGUGGUGCAUUUUACCAUGGCGAUAACCUGGUUCAGUGCAUGGGAAGUAGAGCUGAUUCUUAUACACUGGACUGCUUGGGGGAAAAUUGAAGUCCUUCCCUGUGCCCUCACACUCCUUCUGCUUGGGGUGCUGUAGAAAUGGGAAGACUCCAGUGCCCCUCCAAGAUGUCUUGAACUUCUUGUGGAAAGGUAACACUNUGUUUUGAGAGCUACAGUUCAUUUGCUUAUUGUAUCCAUGGAGUCUGGGGGAAGUCAUGAGUGUAACUGUACUCUUUACAUUCAUGUAAUCCUGGAAUUGGUCUUCAGAGGCAACUGAUAAUGAUGUAACAUUCAGCAGGUCUAGUGUUGUCGGUGUUCACUGUUUGNUGAAUCUUCCAUGUGUUAUGAAACUUGUUUCCAAGAAACUGAAUAGGAUCAGAUGCUGACAGCUGCAAUCCUGAAUAUAUUUACAAGAGAGAGAACCCAUGGAGCACUGANAUUUACAUCUGAGUACUGCUGGGCUUGCAAUUCAGUGCUUGCUUACUCAAGAAUGAAUUCCACUGUAAUUAAUAAAACUUAAAUCUAAGUAAUGGUGUAUAACA